UAUAUCAUCAACUAUGAUGUUUUAUAAUGUUAAGGUAUAUCCUGUGAUGGUUGAAGUAUGUCAUGUACUACUUGCCUUUGAUUUUAUAGGGGAUUAUACUCAAGAUAUUCCAUGAUUCUCAGAAGAGACUUGGGACUUUCAAACAUUGUUGUGGUGUGUUAGACUAUCGGGACUUUUGGAGUUGGAGUUAAUAUAUUUUGUAUAGUGUAAUGCUAGAGCUUGUCAUAAUCCCAUUGCCUCAUGUGUUUAAACAAGACUAUGAAUGCCAUAGACUGGAAUGUGAUUGGUGAGAUAUGUUUAGCCUAUGAGAAGUAGUUUGCAAUAAUCAGGCAUGUGGCCUUGUUGGGGAAGGUAUAGCUUUCCUACAGGAAGUGUGUCAGAUUGUGUCACAAUGGAGGCAGUGCUUUGAAAUGUCAGGAAAUUGUCAAUUCUGGGCAGAGUGAUCCAGACCAUACUCCCGGCUGGCUGUAAAAGAGAGUCUCCUAACUGGAUAAAGCUGUAGAACCCUUGGCUCCUCCAGCACCAUGGCUUCCUAUAUGCUGUCAGGCUUCCUGACAUGAUCGUAAUAUUAGGAAUUUACUAGCAGGGCUGAUGGUAUUGCUAUGGUAGGUCUGACCAUAGUUUUGUUUGAAGGAAUAAUUAUUUUAGGAUUUUGUAAUGGAGGGGAGGCUUUAAAUGGGGCUUAUCGGUCCAUAGGAUUAGAAGCAUGGAAGACAGUGUUGCUGAGAGUGAUUUCAACUGUGGGGGCCUGUCUCUAAGAAACUUCAAAGGAGAAGACUCAUAAACCUGAAUCUCCAAAGUGUCCCCAGAUAAUAUUAUGAUGACAAUCAUCCAUGAGCCAUCAAUGUCCAUAUUGAAACCUACAAUCAUUGUUGCUUCUGAAGAGAUUUCUAACGUCAAGGAUCCCUGAAGCCAGCAGAAUGUACGCUGAAGUUCACAGUCAAUACUGCAACCUCAGGUCAUGUUGAGAGUUCCACAUAUAGUGAGUUGAGGUCACAUAUAUACUGGCAACAGACAACAGUGCAUGUAUGUGAUACUUCAGGCCUCAGCAGCCAUGAUAUCAUUGAUCUCCACUGCCUCACGAGAGCACAUUAAUAUGAGUGUCUCCAACUGCCAGUAAAAUCAUUACAGAUAUCAGUUAUCCAUGAUCCUGUCCAACUUGUGAGAAGGGUUCUGCCAGCUGUAACCAUUUUUAUGUCAUGUUGUAUCCUGUCACUAAACAAGAGGUUUCUGUUCAUGGCCAUACCUGCUAUCUGAAACUAUCUUAAUGUCCCUGAUAUUCAUGGCAACUGACACCAUGGUGUAUCUCUGAUCCUUCCUGCAACUUUGGAUCAGUUGAUAACAUGAGAAAUACCGGCAUCCAAAGAAAAUACAUUGAUAUUACUCAUAUACAAUGCCACUGGUAACAAUACUGAGAUCCAUAGUCAGUGUUGUGCUGGAAAAGAUCCCUGAUGUCUUAGAUCCCAAUGCCAGAAGAGUCUAUUAUAAAGAUCAUUGUCAGUAGUGCUGCCUACUGUCAUAAUGAGGUAAGUACUGUGUUUUGUUAAUGAAGACACCAUUGAUGCCAGUGAUCCUACCUGCAACCUGAAGUUAUGUUAAGGUCACUGCUGUUUGAAGUGAUCAGCAAUCAAGAUGGAGUCCAUUGUUAAUAUCACUGAAGGUGAUCUUGGCGAUGGCUAUGAUCUACAUUGUUUCUGGAGAACCUGAUGAAUGCCAAGGUCCAUACUGAUGCAGAACGUCAUUUUGAGGUAAUUGUUUUGAGCUGGCACUGGAGAUCUGAUUGAUAGCUGAGAUUCGACCCAUCACAGUAAAUUCAGUUGAAGUUUCUGAUGCAUGCAUGUAUCCUCCGAUGUUGAUCAUGCAAAGUAUUUUGAUGCCAGCAAUCCUACCUGUAUCAUGAAGCUCUGUUGAUGUCAGUGAUGUAUUCUGUGUCCAGAAAUAAUGAAGGAGUACAUUUUUCAUAUUGGUGAUGGAGUCUCUGAUGAUGGCUAAGAUAUGUGUUGCUGUUCGAGCACCUGAUAAAUUCCAAGGUCCUUAUUGAUUCCUGAAUUCAUAUUGAGGAAAUUCUGUUGAUGUUCCUGAUGCAUGCAUAUAGGUCCAGAUGCUAUAUGUGCAAUAUAUGAUGAUGCCUAUGAUAAUAUCUGAAACAUAAACCUAUGUAGAUGUAAAUGCUGCAUGAUAUGAGCUGCAAUCAUGAUGGAGUCCCUUAUUCCUAUCGUUGAUGGCAUAUCAUAGUUAAGGCUAUGAUCUGUGUUGCUGUUUGAGAAUCUGGUGAAUUUGACAGUCAAUACUGAAGCCCAAGGUCAUAUUGAGGAGAAAUGUUUUACCAGUCUAACCGUUUUGAUGUCAUGAUGCAGCCUACCACUACAGAAGAGGUUUCUGUACAAGGUCCUACUGAUCAUCUGAAUAUGCAGAGUACUGGAUAUGCAUAAUACUUCCUGGCAAAAGUCAAGAUGGCAUAUUCCAGAUCAAUGCUGCCAUAAGCAGCAAGGUUAUGACUAAUACUUGCUGUCACUUUGGACCUGAUCGAUGACAUCAAUGAUCCCAACUGUCAAAGGAAGUAUAUUGAUGUCACUCAUCCAUGAUGCUACUGGUGAUCAUGUUGAAAUCCAAAGUCAGUGUUUUCAUGGAAGUAUUCCCCGAUGUGUGAGAUCUCUGAGACAGCAGAGUCUUUCGUGAAGUUCAUGAUCAGUAGUGAUGCCCAAGGUCAUAAUGAGGUAAGUGUUGUGUGCUGCUACAGGAGAUGCAUUGGAUGCCUGUGACUACCUGAAACAUGAAGUUAUUCUGAUGCCAGUGCUCCAGCUGUGACCAGCAAUCAUUAUGGAGUCCAUUAUUCCUAUUACUGAUUGAGACCCUGGUGAUUGCUAUGAUCUCAUUUGCUUCUGGAAAACUACCUGAAUGCCAAUGUCCAUACAGACAACUGAUGUCAUAUUGAGUGUUCUGAGAUGACACUGGAGAACAGAUUGAUGGCUGAGAUCCUAAGUGUCACAGGGAAUUCUGUUGAUGUUCCUGACAAAAACAUGUAGUCUGUGAUGUCUAUCAUGGAAUGUAUCUUGAUGCCUGUGAUCCUACCUUUAACAAGAAGCUAUGUUGAUAUCAGUGAUACAUUCUGUGACCAGCAAUCAUGAAGGAGUCCAUUAUUCCUAUUGGUGAUGGAGAUCCUGGAAUGGCUAUGAUCUACAUUUCUGCUUGAGAACCUGAUAAAUUCCAAGGUUCUUAUUGAUGCCUUCUAGCAUACUGAGCCAGCGUGAUAGAGGCCAUUGUUCCUAUUACAUAUGGAAAACCUAAUGAUGACUAGAAUCUGUGUUGCUUCUGGAGAAACUUCUGAAUUCCAAGGACCUUGGGACCAAUAUCAUCCAAGGUCAUAUUGAGGGUAAGUGUUGUUAGCUGACAAAACUAAUCUCUGAGAUCCUACCCACCACAGGGAAUUCUACUGAUGUUCCUGAUGCAUGCAUGUAGCUCCUGAUGUGAAAAAACAUUGUAUUUUGAUGCUUAUGAUCCUACCUGUAACAAGAAGUUGUGCUGAUACCAGUGCUGCAUGUGGUGACUAGAAAUCAUGAUGGUGUCCAUUAUUCCUAAUGCUGAUGGUGAUGGCUCUUAUUUGUGUUGCUGCUUGAGAAUCCAAUGAAUCCCAAGGUCCAUACUGAUGCCCAUGAUCAUUUUGAUGUAAAUAUUUUUAGCUGGUACUGGAGAUCCGAUUGUUAUCUAGAAGCCUACCCGAAACAGGAAAAUUGGUUGAUGUUCCUUAUACAUGUGUGUAGCCCCCCAUUUUAAACAUGUAAUAAAUAUUGAUGCCUGUGAUCCUGCCUGAAACAUGAAGCUGUUUUGAUGUCAGCACUGUUUGAUGACCAGCAAUCAUGAUGGAAUCUAUUAUUUCCAUUGCUAAUGGACACACUGGUGAUGGCUAUGAUCUAUGCUUUUGCUUGAGAACCCGAUGAAUCCAAAGGUCUGUAAUGAUGUGGUAGGUGAUAUUGAGGUAAGUGUUCUGAGCUAGCAAUGGAGAUCAUAUUGAUAUAUGAGAUCCUAUCUGCCACAGGAAAUUCUGUUGAGAUCACUGAUACAUGAAUGCAGCCCCUGAUUUUUGACCUUGUUACGUGCAAGAUCCUUACUGCUACCUGAAGUGAUAGUGAUAACAGUGAUCUAUCCUGCCACUAGGGAAGAGAUGUAUGAUUUGCCCUAUGAAUUGAUGAUGAUGUCACUGAUAUAUACCUGGCAACAUACACCAUGGUAUUGUCCAAGGUCCAUGCUGCCAUUGACAACCUGGUUGUCAGUAAUCCCUGCUGCACCUGCUUACCAUGUUAAUAUCACCAUUACCAAAUGCUUGUAGAAACUAUGAUGGUUUCAGUAGCCAUGUUUAAAAUCAUAGUCCAUGAUGCCUCUUAGGAUAUUUUUAAUGCAAAUGAUCCCUGGGGCUAGCAGAAUCUAAGGUAAUGUUUUAGGUCAAUACUGAUGUCUGAGAUCAUGUUGAGUCAUAUGUUCUGAGAUAUAUUAUGGUGAAGUCACAUAUAGUGUGGCAACAGACACGGUUGUCUGUUAUAUAUAUUUCAGUCUUCCAGCAGUCAUGUCCGUGAUCCCUGCUGCCUCUUGGGAACACAUUAAUAUCACUGUUUCUAACUGGCAAUGGCAUCGUCACUGAUGCCAAUUUUCUAAGAUUCUGCCCAAUUCAUGAGAAGGGUUCUUCUAGCUGUAACCAUUUUUAUGUCAUGUUGCAUUCUGUCACUAGACAAGAGGUUUCUGUACAUGGUCAUACCUGCCCUAUGAAACUGUCUUGAUAUCCCUGGCAACAGAUAUACCAUAGUAUAUUUCAGAUUCCUAUGCCCACAGUCAACCAGGCAGUGAAUAAUUGCUACUACCACUUUGGAACAAAUUGAUGACAUUCGUGAUCCCAACUGCCAAGGGAAAAAUAUUGAUGUCGUUCAUCUAUGCUGUCAUUUGUAUCCACAUUGUGAACCAUAAGUAGCAUGUUUGAAGAGGCCUUGAUGUCUGUGAUAACUCAACCAGAAUAAUCUGUUGUGAAUUUCAGUGUUAGUUCUGGUGCUAAAGGUCAUAAUGAGGCAAGUCCUGUGUGUUCCUACUGGAGACAUGUGAUGCUAGUGAUGCUAGUGAUGUUGAUGCUAGUGAUCAUGUGUGAAACCUGAAGCUGUGUUGAUGUCAGUGCUGCAUGCUAUAACCAGAAAUCAUGAUGGAGUCUAUUAUUGUGAUGGCUAUGAUCUGUGCUGCUUCUGGAGAACAUGCUAAAUUCUGAGGUCCAUACUGACACAUGAGGUCAUAGUGAGGUAAGUGUUCUUAUCUGGCACGUGAGAUCAGAUUGAUUUAUGAGAUCCAACUUGCCAUAGGAAAUUCUGUUCGUGUCCCUGAUGCAUACAUGUAGAACCUACUAUCAACCAUGAAACACACAAUAUCCUUACUACCACCAUAAGUGCUAGUUUUGUCAAUAAUAUAUCCUGUCACUGGAGAAGGGUUUGUGACCAUAAUUUCUUCUCUCCUGUGAAUCAGUGCUGAUGGCACUGAUAUAUACCUGGCAGCAGACACCAUGGUAUUGUCCAAGAUAAUUGAUGCCAAUGGCAAACUUAUUGUCAGUGAUCCUAGCUUCAUGGGGUACCAUGUUUAUGUCACUAAUGCAAAGAGGCUGCAGAGACUUUGAUUAUGUGAGUCAUACAUGCUGCCUCUAGUAGCCAUGUUGAAAUCCAUAGUCAGUGUUGGUGCUGAAGACAUUGUGGAUGUUAAGAAUCCCUGAGAUCAUCAGAAUCUACAAUGAAAUUCAGUCAAUAAUGCUGUCUUGGAUCAUGUUGAGUUACAUGUUCUGAGACAAGAUAUAUGUUGAGUAUGUAUUUAUAAAAGUCAGACACCACUGUGUGUCUAUAAUUCUUCUGGUCUCUAGUAGCCAAUAUGUCAUUGAGCCCUUAUGACAUUUGUGACCACAUUAAUAUGACUUUAUUAAUUGCCAACGGAAUCACUACUGAUGCUUAUUAUCUAUGCUUCUGCAGAAAAUCUAAGAAGUAUCUUGCAUUCAUAAGUAAUUUGAUGCAAUGAUUCACUCUACAACUAGAAAUAAGGUUUCUCUAUAUGGUCAUACCUGCACUUUGAAAGUAUUUUCAUGUCCUUUGUACUUCCUGGCAAUGGACACCAUGUUAUCUCACAGAUCCCUGCUGCCAUAGACAACCAGAUCAUGAGUGAUCCCUAUUCCCACUUUGGACCAAAUUGAUAACAUCUGUGAUCCCAACUACCAAGGGAAAUACUGACAUUACUGAUAAUAAUCCAUGUUGUCACUGAUAAUCAUGUUGACAUCCAUAAUCUGUGUGGUCAUUGCAAAUAGCAAUGUUAAGAAUCCCUGAGACCAUCAGAAUCUAUAAUGAAGUUCAGUCAAUAGUGCUGCCUUUGAUAAUGUUGAGUUACAUGUUCUGAGAUAUGUUAUGUUGAGGUCAUACAUAUAGUCACACCAGACACCACUGUAUGUCCAUGAUAUUUCAGGCCUCUAGUUAAAUCAACCAGAAGGAUCUAUUGUGAAUUCCACGGUAAUUCAAUCCCUGUCUAAAGUCAAAGUGAGGUAAGUGUUGUGUGCUGCUACUGGAGACAUGUUUGAUGUCUGUGAUCCUAACGGCAACCUGAAGCUAUGUUGAUGGCAAUGCUGAAUCAUGAUGGACUCCAGGAUUCCUAUUGCUGAUAGAGACCAUGGUUAUGGCUAGGAUCUCUGCUGCUAUUUAAGGACAUGUUAAUUCUAAGGUCUAUACUGACAGUUGAGGUGAUAUUGAGGUAUGUGUUCUGAGUUGGCACUAGAGAUCACAUUAAUAUCUGAGAUCCUGCCUGCUACAGGAAAUUCUGUUGAUGUCCCUGAUGCAUGCAUGAAUCCCCUGAUGUAAACCAUGAGUUCACUGAUAUAUACAUCAUUGGAAGAGACAGCACUGUAUGUCUAUAUUCUUUAAUGCCACAAGCAGCCAUAUUGUCAGUGAUUCUUUCCCCACUUGGGACCACAUUAAUAUGAAUGAUUCCAAUUGUCAUUGGAAUCUAUACUGAUGUGAGUGAUGCAUGCUUCUGUCACCUGUGAGAAUGUUCUUUAUGAGAAGUAUACUCGUAGCUAUAAUAAUUUUGAAGUCAAUGAUUCAUUCUGACACUAUAGAUAUUAUUACUUCUCAUGGUCCUCCCUGCCCUAUGAAACUACCAUGAUGUUCCUGAUACUUCCUGGCAAUUGACAUCAUAGUAUAUCCAAGAUUCCCUAAUGCUACAGGCAACCAGGAUUUUAAUGAUCCCUAUUGAUACUUUGGACUAAAUGUGAUAUCAAUUGUCCUAUUUGCUAAGAGAAAUAUAUUGAUUUUACUCACCUGUUUUACUGUUUAUAACCACAUUGAGAUCCAUAGUCAGUGCUGUUUCUAAAGACCUUCUUGAUGUCUAUGAUCAAUGUGGCCAGCGUGUCAAUUGUGAAGUUCAUGGUCACAACUGCUUCCAAAGAUCAUAAUGAGGAAGACCUUAUUGAUGACAAGGAUCUGUGCUGCUGCAUGAGAACAGGCUGAAUUCCAAGUUCUAUACUGAUGUGCAGGGUCAUAUUGAGACCUCAUUAUGAGUAAUAUCCUUUCUGCCACAAGAAGAAAUUUGAUAUAAUUGAUUCAUCCUGCUACUGGAGAAGAGACUUAUGUUCAUAAUUUCUUCUACCCUCUGAAUCAACACUGAUGUCAGUGAUACAAUUGUCAACAGAUAUCAUACUAUAUCUAUAGUCCCUGCUGCAAUAGCAAGCAUCAUAUUAAAUAUUUGUGCUGCCAUUUUGGACCAGGAUGAUAUCAGUUACCACAACUGCCAACAGAAAUAUAGUGAUGUCACUCAUCCAUGCUUCUACCUGUAAAUAUAUUACUAUCCAUAGAUGUUGCUGCCUCUGAAGAGCUUUGUGAUGUCUGUUAUCCAUGGUGCUAGAAGAGUCUGUCUUGAAGUUCAUGGUCGAUAAUACUGCCUAAGUCAUGUUGAUGUAUGUGUACUAUGCUGCCACCAGAGACGUGUUUUAUGACUGUGACCUGACUUGCCUCCUGAAGCAGUGUUGAUGUCAUGGCUGCAUACUGACAUCACUAAUUGUGAUGGUGUUUAUUGUUCCAGUGGCAGGUAGGACCUGCCCUAUGAAACUAACAUGUACCAAGGGAUAAAUGCAUGCAUUAAGGACAUGUACCAGUACAACAAAACACAGGAGUGUAUGAAAUGCCUUUUAUGCAUGCAUGAAGCCCCUGCUGACUAAUCAUAACUCUUUUGACUAUAUUAUGCAUAAGAUCCUCACUGAAAUCAGAAGAAUUGUUCAAGAUGUCAUUGAUCCAUCCUGACAAUGGAGAAGAUGUUUAUGUUAAUAUUCUCUCUUGCCCUCUGAAUCUAUACCAAUGUCCAUGAUAUGCUCAGAAACAGAUACAAUGGUAUUGCCCAAGAUAAAUGCUGCCACAGGUAACCUUGAUUUUAGUGAUCCCUGUUGCAAAUGAGUACAAUGUUAAUAUCACUAAUUCAAAGUGCCACCAGAAACUAUGCUGAUGUCCAUCAUCAAUGAUAACACCGGCAUCAAGGUUGAAUGCCAUAGUCCAUGUUGGUUCUGAAGAGACUGAUAAUGUAAAGGAAACCUGUUGCUACCAAAGUCUAUGGUGAAGUUCAUAGUCAAUAUUGCUAACUAAGGUUUUGUUGAGUUAACCUUUCUGUGAUAUGUUGAGGUCAGUGAUACAUUAAGGCAACAAACACCAUUGUAUGCCCAUGAAUUUUGAUGCAAUGAGCAGCUAUAAUGUCAGUGAUCACUGGUGACACAUGUGACCACAUUAAUCUGAGUGAUUCCAGCUGCCACCAGAACCUAUACUGAUGUCUGUGAUCCAUUUUUCUGCCAUCUGAGACUAUGUUAUAUAAUAAAUAUAUGCUGCCAGCUGUACCACAUUUUAUGUCAAGGAUCCAUCCUGCCAAUAGAAAUGAAGUUUCUGUUCAUAGUCUGAUCUGUCCUCUGAAACUGCAUCAAUGUUACUGAUACCUUCUAGAAGCAAACACUAUGGUGUAUCCUAGAUCACUGAGGCCUCUGGCCCACCAGCAACCAUGAUGAUGUCCAUUAUUCCUAUUGAGGUCCUACCUGCCACAGGAAACUAUGGUGAUGUCCCUGACGUAUGAUUGUAGUUGCUUUGUAGAGCAUGCCAUGUAUAAGAUCCUAACUGUCACCAGAAUAGUUAUUGAUAUAAAUUCUGCAACCUUAUAGAUACUUUCCAGCUGUAACUAUUUUGAUGUUGAGGAUCUAUGCUGGAACUAGAGAAGAGGUUUCAGUAUAUGAUCUGAACUUCCAGUGAAACUAUGAUGUCAAUGACAACUCCACAGUAACAAAAAUUACAGUAUAUCCCGGAUCCAUUCUGUCACAAGUUACAAGAUGUUAGUGAUCCCAGGUCCCGCUAUGGAUUGGGAUGAUUAUAUUAGCGAUCCCACUUUUCCAGUGGAAGCAAUGUUCAUGUCAGUGCUACCUGUUGUCAUCAGCAAACAAUAUGAUGUCCUUCAUUGCUAUUGAGAUUCUACCUGCUACAAGAAACUAUGGUGAGGUCCCUGAUGCGUGCAUUUAUCCCUUGCUACAGACUAUCAUGUAUACUACCACCAGAAGUGAUGUUUGUGUUAGUGAUCCAUCCUGUGACAUUAGAAGAGAUUUAUGCCAAUAGACUCUUUCCCUCUGAGUAUAUACUGACGUCACUGACAUACCUAGCAACAUAUAUGGUAGGAUAGCACAAGAUCCAUGCUGCUACAGGCAACCUCAUCAAUGUUCCCUGUUGCCACUGGAAAUUAUACAAUCAUCACCAAUCUAACCUGCCCUCAGAAAUUAUGUUGAUGUCCAUCAUCCAUGAUGCCAACAGUACCCAUGUUACACAUAGUCCAUGUUGCUUCUGAAGAGAAUGUUAAUAUUAAGGAGUUCUCCAGCCACCAGUGUCUAUUCUGAAGUUUAUAGUCAAUAUUGUUGCCUGAGGUCAUGUUGUGAAGUGUUCUGA
rnacentral:sRNA from 1 species